UACAGAGGGUGCGAGCGUUAAUCGGAAUUACUGGGCGUAAAGCGCACGUAGGUGGCGACGUAAGUCGGGUGUGAAAGCCCCGGGCUCAACCUGGGAAUUGCAUUUGAGACUGAAUAGCUAGGGUACGGUAGAGGGAAGUGGAAUUUCCGGUGUAGCGGUGAAAUGCGUAGAUAUCGGAAGGAACAUCAGUGGCGAAAGCGACUUCCUGGACCAGUACCGACGUUCAGGCACGAAAGCGUGGGGAGCAAACAGG
rnacentral:rRNA from 1 species